rnacentral:rRNA from 1 species
GACGAACGCUGGCGGCGUGCUUAACACAUGCAAGUCGAACGGAAAGGCCCUGCUUUUGUGGGGUGCUCGAGUGGCGAACGGGUGAGUAACACGUGAGUAACCUGCCCUUGACUUUGGGAUAACUUCAGGAAACUGGGGCUAAUACCGGAUAGGAGCUCCUGCUGCAUGGUGGGGGUUGGAAAGUUUCGGCGGUUGGGGAUGGACUCGCGGCUUAUCAGCUUGUUGGUGGGGUAGUGGCUUACCAAGGCUUUGACGGGUAGCCGGCCUGAGAGGGUGACCGGCCACAUUGGGACUGCGAUACGGCCCAGACUCCUACGGGAGGCAGCAGUGGGGAAUAUUGCAGAAUGGGCGAAAGCCUGAUGCAGCAACGCCGCGUGCGGGAUGACGGCCUUCGGGUUGUAAACCGCUUUCGCCGGUGACGAAGCGUGAGUGACGGUAAUGGGUAAAGAAGCACCGGCUAACUACGUG